CAACAACAGACUCGGUGAAAUUGUAAUUCCGGUGAAGAUGCCGGAUACCUGCGACAGGACGGAAAGACCCCAUGGAGCUUUACUGUAGCUUGACAUUGGGUCUUGGUACUACAUGUACAGGAUAGGUGGGAGGCUUUGAAACCAGGACGCCAGUUUUGGCGGAGCCAUCCUUGGGAUACCACCCUUGUAGUACUGGGACUCUAACCAUAGGCCAUGAAUCUGGUCUUGGGACACUGUCAGGUGGGCAGUUUGACUGGGGCGGUCGCCUCCCCAAAGGUAACGGAGGCGCUCAAAGGUUCUCUCAGUACGGUCGGAAAUCGUACGUAGAGUGUAAAGGCAAAAGAGAGCUUGAUUGCAAGACAUACAGGUCGAGCAAGGAUGAAAAUCGGACUUAGUGAUCCGGUGGU
rnacentral:rRNA from 1 species